rnacentral:misc_RNA from 1 species
GCAUCCCACCAAUUUCUGCAAAAGCAAGUCCAUUAAAAAUAGUCAGAACAAAGAACAUAACAUACACAGGGAGGGGAAUCGCUAACUGAUGUUAUGCAAAUCUUUUAUUUCCCUUGGUUAAUGUUAAUGCAGCAAACUUCAAUUGAGUAACAUUUAUACAUGGCUAUUUUGUCAUUAAUUAAACAUGCAUAUAGCUGUGACCCCAUGUUAAGAUCUUUCGCUCAACCACCCUAAUACUACGUGUUUGUUAUCAAACUUGAUACUUGUGAACCUCUCCAUAAAUCAUAGCAAAACUGCAACAGCCCAAAAAAUAAAAGAUGUCCUUUUUGUGCACAUAAACAUGCAUUUCUCAUCGUCCAUGCCAUAAUUUCUCAACAUACCAUACAUGCAGGUUAAUCAGUUAGCUUCAAUUUUAUCACUCUCACCCAGUCCAGAAAUAACAAUUUAGAAAACAAAUGUGUAUGCACAAAUACCUGUGUUCAUUGAUUUGAUGAAUAAUGUCAGGUUGGAGUCUUGAAGAUCAAGGACAUAAUGAUAAAAUGAUGGCCAUUGGAUUAGAAAUUGGAAAAAUAAAGAGUGGUGAAAAAGAAUUUAAGUUCACAUGUCAAAUAAACAUUUUUUUCCGUGUCAUGGCAAAAAGGUUAGAAAUUUGAAGUUAAAAAUUUUUCCUCUCCAACUCAUAAAGAAAAUAGAUUGUGGAAUUAAGAAGGCACAUACAGUUCCAGCAGAGUAAAUAUCACCCGUCCGAAACCCCUUAUUCAGGGUUUCCAAAACUGCAUUCUCAAUUCUCUUUGCAGCUUUUUCUUCCCCUAGACCAUAUUUCAAAAGCAUUGCAGCACU